ensembl:lncRNA
GCCUCUCACAAUGCGUCAUGGUCGAAAACCCACCCUUUCCUUUCGUUGCUACGGACUACAGAGUGUGACGCUGGGCUAUCGAGACUGUGUGCAGGUGUGAUGUGCUGCCCAAUCUCAGUGCGCUGUGCCGUCAAGGCUCCCAACUGUGUAGCAUGCUAGUUUAACGUAGCUCCGGUCGGAGCUCCAGCUGUCGUCGUCACAACUAUUAAAGACGCUAUCAUGACUUUCGUAUGUACCAUCGUGAGUAUCAUGUCAUCGGAUCACGCUGGUGGUGUCUAUUAGCCUGCCCUUCAUACAGGAAGCCUCAGUCCUCCUAUGGUUAACUUUCACUUGUGACUUUAUUUGACCAAUGCCUGACUGCUUUGGAUGUUUCUUCUAAAAUAAUUCUUGGCCAGUCUUAAACUUAAAAAAAUUUUUUUUUUUUUUUUAAUAAAUGGAAACCCAGCCUCUUGCCGGUUCUAAGUGGAAUGUACUUGCACUUGCGUGUUCUUAUUUGGGUUAUUUUCCCCGUUUUCUCGGGGUGGUAUAGUUGGUAUACUAACGAAACAAACGAGCUGCAUAGCUACACGUAGUUGUAGAGCUAAACAAGCC